ensembl:lncRNA
AUAAAAGCUUUUGAUUCAUCAAAUGAGAGGCUGGCAGUUAGUAUUACCAGUAUGCCCUGACCCAAACCAAUAUAGGCUCUUCUGCUAUAAAAUAUAAGGCAUAUUUAAAAGAGACUUAAGCAUAAUAACUGACUUACAAAAGUUGAUGUAAGAAACAAGAAUUCUUCAAGGAAGAAAAGUAUUUCUUCUCAGCUUCUACUGGAAGUCUUACCUUGUUCAUACAUAGUGAACCUUUCAUUCUUUAUUACUGAAUGCACUUUAUGUGAUAUUGAUGCAACCCAUAUUUUUUGAGAUUUUCUUCUCCUCUUCCCACAGUCUGUCUUCUGGAGGCAUAAUCUUUGAUCUAUGAUGACAAUAAUUUUCACAGCAUAUGCAGACAGUGACUGCAGAUGGGGAAAGCUGAGGAAUGACAGUUGCAGCCCCUGCUGAGGCUGAGUGCCACAGGGAAAGAAAGGUGUCUCACAACAGAAGGUGGACAACUCUGUAAUACUUUAGAAGAGAAUUUUAUAGUAAGAACUGAUGCUCUGCUUGGGACAAAAAACAACACAAAACAAAACAACCUGAAUGUGUGAUCCUAUCCCAGCUCAGCUUGAGUUCAGUGUGAGUUAUGGUGCUGACUGAUUUCCCUGGGGAUGGAACCUCAUGCUGUGUAUGCAGGAAUGUCACUAAACGGGUAGGUGAGUUUUUAGGCUAAACUUGUCAGCCAGAAAAAAAGCAGUGCCUGAAGGCUUAAUAUUAUCUUCCCUGUCCCAGUGUGUCCACUGGGUGAUGUUUGUUUUGGCAAUGUUUUUUUUUUGAGCUUGCUUGAUGGUAAGGAAAUUCUUUUGAGACAGUUUGGGUAGCAGAAUAAGUUGUGGUUCUGUUUGCAGCUUUAUUUGUCUCAGCAUCUGGAUUUAUUAUACAUCCUGUUUUGCUUGACAGAAAGAUUAAGCAGACUUGACAAACUCACAGUUGUAACCUUAUCUUUGCAGUCAGAACCCUACAAGUCAUGAUAAAAGAUAUGUCGUUAAGAUCUGCAAAAGAAAAUACUGAAGGAAAAAUGGGGUGGAGAAAAAGAGAGAGAGAGAAAGGAAAAGAAGAAGAAAACCAUUUGGUUCAACAACUGUCUGCAAGUAGAGCUUGGAUGUAGUAUCAUACUGCAUAGUAGUGUUACAUAAAUACAAGUGAUAUAGGUCUUUUUUUUAUGAGUGUCAUAAGUUUUGUUCUGCGUGUGGUAGCUUCACUGAUUGAUUGCUGUUACCUGGUGGUUUCCCAUCCAUAAAUAUUUAAUGAUAUACUGCAGUCAAAUCAGGAAGAACUGCAUUUAUAGGAACAAAAAAUCUGUAAUUUUUAAGCAAUUGAUUAUAACUGGCUUCACAUAUCAUAUUUGUUUCUUAUUCCCUCUGACAGCCUGGCAGCUUUUCUCACGCUUCAUUUUCUUAUCACUUAAAAAAGGCUUAUCUUCCUUUUGUGUAAGACCCAUGCAAAGGAAUUAGUUAUGUACUGAAGAGACAGUGAAGAUGUCUAAGUACAGAACAGUACCAACUAGGUACUAUUAAAAGUACCACCUAAAAAUAAUCGUAAACUAAGGAAAAAUCUUAUGCUCAAUUGGAAGGGGCAGAAAACACAGUCAGAUGUUUUGCUAUACUGAUGGGAUUUCCAGAGUUAACGCUAGCAUGUCACUCUAAGUGAAAACUUACCUAGUAAGUGGGGGAGAAUGUUCCGUGUUUUGCUUUGUCUGGU